AUGUAGCGAGCUGAGUGGGGAGGAGAGAGGGACAGAGCCUGCUUGCUUUAAAGGAACCAACCGGACAGGAGCCGCUUACACUCGUGUAAGUGGCUCCUCUCCUCUCCCGCUUUGCUCCUUUAAAGAAGCAGGCUCUCUGUCCCUCUCUCCUCCCCAAUCAGCGGCUCUUCUC
rnacentral:miRNA from 1 species